GUGGGGUAACGGCCCACCAAGGCGACGACGGGUAGCCGGCCUGAGAGGGCGACCGGCCACACUGGGACUGAGACACGGCCCAGACUCCUACGGGAGGCAGCAGUGGGGAAUAUUGCACAAUGGGCGAAAGCCUGAUGCAGCGACGCCGCGUGAGGGAUGACGGCCUUCGGGUUGUAAACCUCUUUCAGCGCCGAAGAAGCGAAAGUGACGGUAGGCGCAGAAGAAGCACCGGCUAACUACGUGCCAGCAGCCGCGGUAAUACGUAGGGUGCAAGCGUUGUCCGGAAUUAUUGGGCGUAAAGAGCUCGUAGGCGGUUUGUCGCGUCUGCUGUGAAAAUUCGGGGCUUAACCCCGGACUUGCAGUGGGUACGGGCAAACUAGAGUGUGGUAGGGGAGACUGGAAUUCCUGGUGUAGCGGUGAAAUGCGCAGAUAUCAGGAGGAACACCGGUGGCGAAGGCGGGUCUCUGGGCCAUAACUGACGCUGAGGAGCGAAAGCAUGGGUAGCGAACAGGAUUAGAUACCCUGGUAGUCCAUGCCGUAAACGUUGGGCGCUAGGUGUGGGGCUCAUUCCACGAGUUCUGCGCCGCAGCAAACGCAUUAAGCG
rnacentral:rRNA from 1 species